GAUGAACGCUGGCGGCGUGCUUAACACAUGCAAGUCGAACGGAGCUUGUCUGAUAGAGGAUUCGUCCAACUGAUUUCAAGCUUAGUGGCGGACGGGUGAGUAACGCGUGAGGAACCUGCCUUGGAGUGGGGAAUAACAAAGUGAAAAUUGUGCUAAUACCGCAUAAUGCAGUUGAGUCGCAUGGCUCUGACUGCCAAAGAUUUAUCGCUCUAAGAUGGCCUCGCGUGUGAUUAGGUAGUUUGUGAGGUAACGGCUCACCAAGCCGACGAUCAGUAGCCGGACUGAGAGGUUGGCCGGCCACAUUGGGACUGAGACACGGCCCAGACUCCUACGGGAGGCAGCAGUGGGGAAUAUUGGGCAAUGGGCGCAAGCCUGACCCAGCAACGCCGCGUGAAGGAAGAAGGCUUUCGGGUUGUAAACUUCUUUUGUCAGGGACGAAUAAAUGACGGUACCUGACGAAUAAGCCACGGCUAACUACGUGCCAGCCGCCGCAGUAAAAC
rnacentral:rRNA from 1 species